rnacentral:rRNA from 1 species
UACGAAGGGGGCUAGCGUUGUUCGGAAUUACUGGGCGUAAAGGGCGCGUAGGCGGCCUUGAUAGGUGGGCGUGAAAGGCCUGGGCUCAACCCGGGAACUGCGUUCAAUACUGCGAGGCUAGAGUGUGGGAGAGGUUGGUGGAAUUCCCAGUGUAGAGGUGAAAUUCGUAGAUAUUGGGAAGAACACCGGUGGCGAAGGCGGCCAACUGGACCACAACUGACGCUGAGGCGCAAAAGCUAGGGGAGCGAACAGG